AUUGAACGCUGGCGGCAUGCCUUACACAUGCAAGUCGAACGGCAGCAUGGAGAGCUUGCUCUCUGAUGGCGAGUGGCGAACGGGUGAGUAAUGCAUCGGAACGUACCGUGUAAUGGGGGAUAACGUAGCGAAAGUUACGCUAAUACCGCAUACGACCUGAGGGUGAAAGCAGGGGAUCGCAAGACCUUGCGUUAUACGAGCGGCCGAUGUCAGAUUAGCUAGUUGGUGAGGUAAAGGCUCACCAAGGCGACGAUCUGUAGCGGGUCUGAGAGGAGGCGCCGCCACACUGGGACUUAGACACGGUCCAGACUCCUACGGGAGGCAGCAGUCGGGAAUUUUGGACAAUGGCGGCAACCCUGUUCCAGCCAUGCCGCGUGAGUGAAGAAGGCCUUCGGGUUGUAAAUCUCUUUCGGCCGGGAAGAAAUCGCACAGGCUAAUACUCUGUGUGGAUGACGGUACCGGCAUAAGAAGCACCGGCUAACUACGUGCCAGCAGCCGCGGUAA
rnacentral:rRNA from 1 species